rnacentral:tRNA from 1 species
GGCGGGCUGGCGGAACUGGCAGACGCAGACGGCUCAAAAUCGUCCGACCGCAAGGUCAUGGGGGUUCAAUUCCCUCGCCCGCUACCA